GUUUGAUAUCAGGACAAAACUUACUAGUUAUACAAAAAAGAUAAUUUUCUGCUAUUGAUUUAAAAUGUUUUGCGUGCCUUUUCAGGGUCCAGGGACGCACUCCAAUGAGGCAGUGAAACAUCAUUUGGAAGCUGUUCAUUACCUUCAACUUUUAUGAAGGUGCAAUGAUGUCAAUGAACCAUGAAUUAAAGAGUCUCCUAAAUAGGUCCUGACAAGACUGCUACUUCUGUGAAAGAGCCAUUACCAUCCUUCAGGUGUUGUAACGUCUUCACAGGCAGUGGGAGCAAUGACCAGGCCAUAUUUCUGUCACAAGAACCAGUCAAGUGUCAUCUUAUGUCAUUUGUCAAUAGUAUAACAUAUCACGUGGCAGUGCUGACCUGUGUAAUGUUUCACUGAGUUGUGUAUCUUCUUUUCUGGAGCUCACUCUGUAAAAUAGGUAUCCUGCUGAAGGAACCUGCUCUGAAGAGUUCCUUCACUGUGCAGUCUUUCAGGACCAAGAAGUAGUCUUAUGUUAGGAUGGAUAUCUUUUGCUGAAAUUCUUCAGUGAGGCAUGGUGGUUCAUAUACUUCCUCAGCUUGCUCUGCCAGUGAUACUGAAGACUUCAUGAGUGAUACAUCUCAGUACACAUCUGUUGCUCGAUUUAUGAUGAAAACUGAAGUUUUUGCUUCUGUGAUAGGGAAUUUGUUGUUUGCUAUAAAUGUGGAUGUUGUUUUCUAGCAGGAUAGUUUGAAGCAUUUUUUCCUUUUUUAACUUAGUUUUGGUUCAGUGGUACUCUUUAAUACAGAAGAUAAACAAGAAGGGCCUGUGUAUAGAGACUUAUGUGUCUUGCACUGUUGCAUUCUUAUUUCUUCUUUGGUAUUUUGGGUCAUGGAUUCUAAGAGGCCAGUGGAAAAUUAUCCUGCUGUUUGUCUAUCUCCUGUUACUUAAAGAAUUAUGCUUAUAUAUAGUCCUAUUUUUGCUAAUUUCUUUCCAUGAAAAACGUAUCUCCAUCCAUAAAAUGUUAUGGGAUCUUUUGGUUUGCAGCAAAGCUUAAAAAAAUAAUAAUAUAAUAGUGUUAUUUUUAUUUCUUGCUUUCCUGGAGAGCCUC